rnacentral:rRNA from 1 species
UAUCCGUUAUGGAAAAUUCAUCACUAAUACUAUGAUAUUUAUAAUAUUAUAGAAAUGGUGUGCAAUUUUUCCAUAUAAGGACAUUGUAAUCUGUUAAUGUAUUAAAUAUUUAUUAAAAGAUCUUAUACAUAAGUUUAUUCAAAUUAGUUAUUUUCGGAUUUCUAACAUAGAAUAAAUGUAUUUGAUUUAAUAAAUCAUUGACAGAUUUAAUUAUAAUAUAGUGCUUAAAUUUUGAAAGAAAUUUUACAAUAAUAUGAUAAUUCAAUUUGUUAUAUUUAUUGUAUGCACUUAUAUGAUUAACAAUGCGAUAGAUUCAGGAUACCUUCGGGACCCGUCUUGAAACACGGACCAAGGAGUCUAACAUAUGUGCAAGUCAUUGGGUAUUUUUAAUAAAACCCAAUGGCAUAAUUAACUUAACUGUUUUUUAAAUGGGAUUAGUUUAUAUUUUAUUAUGAAAUAUUAAUUCAAUCCCGGGGCGUUCUAUAUAGUUAUGCAUAAUGAUAUUUAUAUUAUUUAUGUCUCUAACUAGAGCGUACCUUGAGCAUAUAUGCUGU